rnacentral:tRNA from 1 species
GCGGUCGUGGUGGAACGGCAGACACGCUGCUUUGAGGGGGCAGUGGGAGAAAUCCCGUGUGGGUUCAAAUCCCACCGACCGCACCA